UUUCUCGAGCUUUUUUUCCUCACCGUCAAGUUCAUUCCCAAGAAUGGCGGGUUGAAUAUACAUGUGUCAAAUGCAAGUAUUGCUCUGGCAAAAUCACUGACAAGCUAAAAUAGGUGGUUAUUGUCUCUUUUCCAGGAAGACAGAUACUCUACUUCUGAGCCAAAAAGAACUUUUCUCAGACAAAGCUUGAUCUUUUUGCACUGCUGCAAAGAGCCUCUGAGAGCUCUGGAGUGAGAGCUGCCUCCAAGAGUGACUCUCCAUUUGGAAACCUCUGCUGAAGGUGAAGGCCUCCCAGUACGCCAGGCAGCCUUAGCCGGCGCUUUGAAAUACUGCAUCCAGAACUGUGAAGUGACUAAGAUUUGCC
rnacentral:lncRNA from 1 species